GGAAAAUCACGUGAUUGAGGUGGAAGGACCCAAGAGCAUGGAGUGGCAUGUCUACAAAGAGUCUUCAAACACAGAAUAUAUAAUGACAGAGGAAGAAGAGAUCUCAGGCUACAAAAAGUGGAAGGACCCAAAAGCACGGAGUGGCAUGCCUCCAAAGAGUCUUCAAAUGUAGAGCAUAUAAUGACAGAGGAAGAAGAGGUCUCAGACCAUAAAAAGUAAGUACAUCCACAGCCAUGGAGCUUUUCACCUUGAGAUAAUUACUAUCAGCGCAGAAAGGGCACAGCAUCUUUGAAGCACAGCAUUGGAAGUCCAUAGGACAGACUGUCAAGUCUGAGAGAUGUCUUAGAAGACAUAACAUAGAGUAACAGAACUGGGAAUGACUUUGGAACAAAGAUUGUACUGGUGGGAAGUGCCAGUUGAACACAGAAAUGCAGAGGUAGGAGAGGCAUUCUAACUGAGAACACAGAUUAUCCAAGAUAUAAGGCCCUUCAGACACAGAGUUGAAACAUAUAACUUUAGAACACAAACUGUUAUCAUGAGAAAGAACUGUGCAUCACUGAGUAUGGAUGAUCUUUGGGAGGGAUGGUUACAAGUCAUACUUCUGGAGGUUUUGGGUUGUACCAAUCCACAUUCCCAUUGAAAGAUACUCUGUCUUUCUGUGAUGUGGUAAACCUUGGAGCUUAGUCUAUCAGACCUAGAAGUGUCCUUUGGCUAUCAACUGUCAUCAGUGGAAUGGACAGUACAAUAUAGAUUGGUCCAAGUAGAAAGACUUGAGUUCCUUAAGUGCAUGGAUACAAAUUAAUAUCAUGAGAACACAUUCUGCAUCACUGAACAUGGAUGACCAUUGGCUGAAAUAGGUUAGCAGAUGUACUUCACAUUUGGGAUGGCCCUAAUCUUCUCUAAGGUUUCUUCUUAGUCUGACAUUCCAUGUUUUGAUGAUGUUGUGAAACUUGGAGGAUAGAAUAUCAGGCCUAGAAUUUGCCUUAACCCGUCAACAGAUGGCAGUGGAAUGGCCAAAAGAAUAUAGAUCAAGAGGACUGGAAUGCCCCAAGAGGAUGGAUUCUCAAGCUUGGGAGCAGCCUCAAAAUAAACCACGUGCAUUGCAAGUUCUCA
rnacentral:lncRNA from 1 species